rnacentral:misc_RNA from 1 species
AAGUCGUAACAAGGUUUCCGUAGGUGAACCUGCGGAAGGAUCAUUACAAAUCAGGUUUACCCAGCCAAAUAAACAGCUGGCUGGGUAAACACAUUGGCACAGGGCAGCACUGCACUGCAAGGUGGUGGUGCAGCCUUGAUGUUUACGCUUGGUUGUUUGACAGAGUAAGUGAAGUGAAGCUAAAUAUAGACAACUUUUAACAAUGGAUCUCUUGGCUCUU